ACGGCUUUCGAUAGACACCUAAAACCUUCGCCGAGGGGGAGGUGACCUGAGGUGACGUCACUGCAGGCGCCUCCCGGCGCUGAAGGACCCCGCACGCUGACGGGCCGGUGCGCAAGUUUUAACUGGAGCGGCGCGCUCCGUCAGAGUGCAACCGGGCCCAGGCGGAGACUCGAGGACUACGUCUUCCGGCGGCCCCCGCGCGCCGGGCGGACCCCGAGCAGUUCUUCCUGCCGCCGCGGGCGCGCCUGAGGGGGCGGUUCGCCUCGUUAGACGUUGUCGUCGUCACCGCUGACCAGUCCUUCUUCCCAGACGUCUCUCUUCUCACAGCUCCCCCGCCUUCCGUGUCCACUUGCCGUCCGGCCCCGCGCUCCUCGGCCUCUUCCCCACCCCCACCCCCACUCCGGAAGCCCUGCCAAGCGCAGCGCUUGGCCGAAUCCUGGGCAGUGGCCGGCUGCUAACAAAUGUUAUUAAAAUAUCUUGCAAAGGGAAAAAAAGAGAAAAUCUUCACUUUACAGCAAUUCCCGGAUACACCCAAGUCCUCAUCCUCUUGUUUGAAUCGAAGUUUUCCCCGAUAUCCGCUGCCACCAGAAUCUUUUGAUGAUCCCAGCUUGUUGCCAUGGGUUACCUUGCUCGGAAGCCUCAGACGUCGCUUCUCGACGUCUGGUUAGGAAGUCCGAAUUCUUAGCGUCCCAUACAAGAACUGCAUGCAUUAAGGAGACGUCCCAGGCCCUAUCAGCUCCUUCCUAAAUCUUCGGAUGGAAAUUGCAACUGAAAACAGCACCCACCCCCACCCACCCCCACCCCCCACCCCCCGCCACUUCCAAGAAAGCAGUCUGUGUUCCUCUCCAAAUGCCGGCAUCCCUGUCCUUGCUUGUACACGCUCUGCGGUUGAAGCUGGCUGUGAAGUGGAGGAACCAGGUGUCCAGCAGUCGCUUAGAUCACCUGCCCUUGGCACUGAAGACACGUCUGUACUCGUCCGAGGGGCUAAUGUGGGAUGUGCAGAAGACAGGAGUAGGGUUAAAGUGAAAGGAGAAGCGAGAAAGGGGAGAGGAGCCCCUGUGGUCCUGAUGACUUUACAUGUUCCAUGUCUGCCUUCCAACCUCGGACAAACAGGUCUUAACAGUAGCUUCCCUCCCCAAAUGUUUCCCCCCACCCCACCCCUUCCCGGCCCAGGGUAUCUUAGCCAGGGAGGCACCAGCUUAUGCUCCAGCGUUGGAUCGCUCUGCACUGUCCACCCGCCUACACGACAUCCCUACCCUUGCAGGAACUGGGAACUCACUGCUGCCUUCCUGUCCCCUGCACCUGCCUGGACCGCGCUUCCUGCCAGCGUGGCAUUCUGUAACCCUCCUGUCCUGCCAGGCCGCUCGUUCUACCUCCACGACCGCAGUGUCAUCAGGGUCUUUUCCAGUGCGUCAGCUCUCGACAUCAGGUGGCCAAAGGACUGGCGUUUCAGCACAGUGGUUUUUCUAAAAUAUCUCUUCAUUGCUACAGGAACCCGGAAGAGAUCGUGGGACAUCGUAUGUCCUUAUGAUUUAAUUGAUUCAGUCAUAAAGUGUGGCUUCCAGAACAGCACUGGGUCAAAGGGAGAUGACAUUGGAGAGCUUGAGCAUUAGCAGGGCUUGAAGGUCAAUUAAAAUUGCAAAAACAUUAAACCUAAUUAAUAGAGGGCCAGGCAUAGUAUGCCAGGAACAGCCUAGGAUAGAUCUUUGCAGAAUGACAUCUCUCACGUUUGUUCCUGUUGAUGUGCAGUCAAGGGCGUUUCUCCCUGGGGUGGAGAUCAAGCAGUUCCUGUAACGUCUCAUUUUUAUUGGAAGGAGCUAUGGCCGCAGGUGUAGACCUUAACUGAUCCACGGAAGUCGAGGGAGUUUGGCUGCUCGGGGACUUGGAAGGAAUAAGAUUGGAGGCCUGGUCACAAGGGGUCUGGCGCAUAGGCAUAGCUACAGAAUCUGCUUCCUACAAAAGUUUUGCUCCCCGAAGUCUUCAGUAACCAGGUAGCUCAGAUGACCUGUCUGUGUGGAUCAGUUACCCUCUCCCCACACCACCUUGGUUUUCCAGCAGCACGCUGGCCGUGGUAUCUUGGAUGAAGAUGAAUAACAGCCCAGGCUUUCCUUCACAAAGCUGAUCUGUCAGCCUGCCACGGGCUUCCCCGGCCAAGAGCUGACAGGGCUGAGUGUCAGAGACAGUGUCAUUCCUUGGGGAGUGGGAAAUGGAAUGUUGCCCGCUGUAUCAGAAAACAAAGGAUGAGAGAGCCAUCAGCGAUUGCAGCCACCACCACCCGCCCUCCCCCCCGGGCAGCCCUGAGGGAACUCAGGAUGGAAGCUCAGGAGGAAUGCCAGCCAGUCGUCAUCACACUGAAUCCACCACCGACCCCCACCCACUGGGCGGCCCGCGGAGGCUCAGGAUGAGAAAGCAGGGGUCUUGGGCCCAGACAGCUGAGGUGCAGAUCAAAGGACUGGCUUCAGUGAGCCCAGCCUCUUGCAUCUUCCCAUACGUGGGAAAGCACUGAAUUCCUUAACCUGAGAUGUCUGGCUUCCUUUAAUCAACAAGAAGCUUUUGAUGUUCAGACUGCCUGCCCCUUGUCGUAAAACUUCUAUAUAACCUGGAAACCACCUUCAGGCGGGAGAAGUGAACAGUUAACCCUGGUACGCUGCCCACAAGCACACAGACCCCAGACCAAUUGGAACCUGAAGGUCGAUUAUGCUGACUCAUACUCACCUCACCAUCAGCCAACCAGAAGAAUGCUCACAAGCUGAUCAUGUCCUCUUUGAAGCAUUUCUAUAAAACCCCACACUCACUCACUGGUGGGGACACGCCAUUUUCAGGACUUUAGUCCCCUCUGAACCCCUUUGCCUGGUAAAGCAAUAAAGCUGUAUUUUCUGUUUCACCCAAAUCUCUGUCUCCAAGAUUUACUUCCGUGUUGGGGUGCAGAGGCGAGAUUUGACUUCAACAUCCCUGUGGGGUUAUGUGGUCUUCCCUUCCUACCCAAACAUUGACAUGCAGCUGGGUGUUCAAAAUGCUGGGAUAGUC
rnacentral:lncRNA from 1 species